GAUGAACGCUGGCGGCGUGCCUAAUACAUGCAAGUCGAGCGAACAGACCAGGAGCUUGCUCCUCUGACGUUAGCGGCGGACGGGUGAGUAACACGUGGAUAACCUACCUAUAAGACUGGGAUAACUUCGGGAAACCGGAGCUAAUACCGGAUAAUAUAUUGAACCGCAUGGUUCAAUAGUGAAAGACGGUUUUGCUGUCACUUAUAGAUGGAUCCGCGCCGCAUUAGCUAGUUGGUAAGGUAACGGCUUACCAAGGCAACGAUGCGUAGCCGACCUGAGAGGGUGAUCGGCCACACUGGAACUGAGACACGGUCCAGACUCCUACGGGAGGCAGCAGUAGGGAAUCUUCCGCAAAGGGCGAAAGCAUGACGGAGCAACGCCGCGUGAGUGAUGAAGGUCUUCGGAUCGUAAAACUCUGUUAUGAGGGAAGAACAAAUGUGUAAGUAACUAUGCACGUCUUGACGGUACCUAAUCAGAAAGCCACGGCUAACUACGUG
rnacentral:rRNA from 1 species